rnacentral:rRNA from 1 species
UACGUAGGGGGCAAGCGUUGUCCGGAAUCAUUGGGCGUAAAGCGCGCGUAGGCGGCCCGGUAAGUCCGUUGUGAAAGUCAAAGGCUCAACCUUUGAAUGCCGACGGAUACUGCCGGGCUAGAGUCCGGAAGAGGCGAGUGGAAUUCCUGGUGUAGCGGUGGAAUGCGCAGAUAUCAGGAGGAACACCGGUGGCGAAGGCGGGUCUCUGGGCAGUAACUGACGCUGAGGAGCGAAAGCGUGGGGAGCGAACAGG